ACAGAGGGUGCGAACGUUGCUCGGAAUCACUGGGCGUAAAGCGCGUGUAGGCGGAUUUGUAAGUCGGGUGUGAAAUCCCUGGGCUCAACCUAGGAACUGCAUUCGAAACUACAUAUCUUGAGUGUCGGAGAGGGAAGUGGAAUUCCAGGUGUAGGGGUGAAAUCCGUAGAUAUCUGGAGGAACAUCAGUGGCGAAGGCGGCUUCCUGGACGAUAACUGACGCUGAGACGCGAAAGCGUGGGGAGCAAACAGG
rnacentral:rRNA from 1 species